GUUGUGCUUAUUAGAAGAACCCAAAUUCAGUUUGUGGAAAUUUUGUGAAGGCGAGAACAUCAUUCUUCCAUUCCAGGCCAAACACCAAAAGGAAGGUUUCGGCCAUGAAUCUCUGGAAAGAUUUCAUAUCGAUGGGAUCCAAGUAUUGAAUCAUCACUACUUUGAUGCCAUACGCUGAUUUGUAUAGGUACAGCCGUCCGGACUCCAGAUCAUAUAUACUACUUUGAAGGGUACUAGCUGGCAACGAUCUUAUAACUGGAUCAUUCUUAAAAACAUUGGAUUAUAGAACUUACGCCGACCUCGAUCUUAUAUUAUGUUGAUCGAAUAGGUUUUGAGUUUUUGACAGACUAAUCAUAGUCACGAUCACAAGUUUUCCAGAAAAUCUGCUUGAUUCCAAUGUACAAGGGGAUUUACCAAUUAUAUAUAACAUGAAAAUUUUGUAAUAAGAUCCAUGGAUACGAUCUUUCAGCCAACAAGAGAAAAAAAAAGGACGAAAACCCAUGGAUAUGGUAUAUACAGUAUUAUGAAGAGGACUGCGAUGGUGGUGACGGUAGCUGUAGAAAAAGGUGUAAAUAAUCCACAGAUCCAGGUGGAGCAAUCCUAGGUAGUGGGGCAUCGAUAGCAGAUGAAGUGUGAAGCACCAAAUCUAUCUACCUGGCCUUGGCACGAGAAAAGAAACACCAAGGGAACCCGUGAAGACAAUACGUGUAAAUGUCGGAGGUGACGGAAGAGAUAGCCAUCGAGUACAGGAGCAAUAAAUGCACUGACGAAGUAGUUGAGAAGAUAAGGAGAAUCUGGUCAAAGUAAGACUCGGCUAAGAAUAUCAAGGGCGACAUCGUCUAUACUCACUAAGUGACCGAUAUCGGAAGAAUGGAUGUCGAGAGAAGAUAUCACUAGGCGUAGCCCUACAUCUCGUAAAAGAUAUCUCCUACUACCCGAGAAGGACAUCAAGGAAUAUACGCCACGACGCACAUUGUAACUUGGAUGUAUCAUCACUUGUAACUAUAAAUAGAGAGCCAUGUAGAGAGCUAGAAACCAAGUAAUCAGUGAGGGUGGAGAGAAUAUCAAGAACUUGAGAGAGUGAAUAGAGUGCUUGUUAGUGAGAUACAUACUUUGUAACCUU